GAGUUUGAUCGUGGCUCAGAUUGAACGCUGGCGGCAGGCCUAACACAUGCAAGUCGAGCGGUAGAGAGAAGCUUGCUUCUCUUGAGAGCGGCGGACGGGUGAGUAAUGCCUAGGAAUCCUGCCUGGUAGUGGGGGAUAACGCUCGGAAACGGACGCUAAUACCGCAUACGUCCUACGGGAGAAAGCAGGGGACCUUCGGGCCUUGCGCUAUCAGAUGAGCCUAGGUCGGAUUAGCUAGUUCGGUGAGGUAAUGGACUCACCAAGGCGACGAUCCGUAACUGGUCUGAGAGGAUGAUCAGUCACACC
rnacentral:rRNA from 1 species